UACGGAGGAUCCAAGCGUUAUCCGGAUUUAUUGGGUUUAAAGGGUGCGUAGGCGGUUUGGUAAGUCUUAUGUGAAAUCUACAGGCUCAACUUGUAGUCUGCAUGAGAAACUGCCGGGCUUGAGUAUGGGAGAGGUGAGUGGAAUUCCUGGUGUAGCGGUGAAAUGCGUAGAGAUCGGAAAGAACACCAACGGCGAAAGCACUCUGCUGGGCCGACACUGACACUGAGAGACGAAAGCUAGGGGAGCGAAUGGG
rnacentral:rRNA from 1 species